rnacentral:rRNA from 1 species
CCAAUAGCGUAUAUUAAAGUUGUUGCAGUUAAAAAGCUCGUAGUUGAAUUUCGGGAUUAGUACGUCGGUCGUGCCUUCGGUACGUACUGGUGUUACUGAUUCCUACCUUCUGACGAACCAUCAUGUCAUUAAUUUGGUGUGGCGGGGAAUCAGGACUGUUACUUUGAAAAAAUUAGAGUGUUUAAAGCAGGCUCGCGCUUGAAUACAUUAGCAUGGAAUAAUGAAAUAGGACGUUGACCCUAUUUUGUUGGUUUCUAGGAUUGACGUAAUGAUUAAUAGGGAUAGUUGGGGACAUUAGUAUUCAAUUGUCAGAGGUGAAAUUCUUGGAUUUAUUGAAGACUAACUACUGCGAAAGCAUUUGCCAAGGAUGUUUUCAUUAAUCAAGAACGAAAGUUAGGGGAUCGAAGACGAUCAGAUACCGUCGUAGUCUUAACCAUAAACUAUGCCGACUAGGGAUCGGAUGAUGUUAUUUUUAAUGACUCAUUCGGCGCCUUACG